rnacentral:rRNA from 1 species
UACGUAGGGGGCAAGCGUUGUCCGGAUUUAUUGGGCGUAAAGAGCGUGUAGGCGGCCAUUCAGGUCAGCUGUGAAAACUCGAGGCUCAACCUCGAGACGUCGGUUGAAACCGUUUGGCUAGAGUCCGGAAGAGGAGAGUGGAAUUCCUGGUGUAGCGGUGAAAUGCGCAGAUAUCAGGAGGAACACCAAUGGCGAAGGCAGCUCGCUGGGACGGUACUGACGCUGAGGCGCGAAAGCGUGGGGAGCAAACAGG